UACGUAGGAGGCGAGCGUUGUCCGGAAUUACUGGGCGUAAAGAGCGCGUAGGUGGCGCGAUACGACCGGUGUGAAAUCCUCCGGCUCAACUGGAGGGGGUCACUGGUAACGGUCGUGCUUAUGAGUGCAGGAGAGGGACGUGGAACUCCGGGAGUAGCGGUGAAAUGCGUAGAGACCCGGAGGAACACCAGUGGCGAAGGCGGCGUCCUGGCCUGCGACUGACGCUGUGGUGCGAAAGCGUGGGGAGCAAACAGG
rnacentral:rRNA from 1 species